rnacentral:rRNA from 1 species
UACGAAGGGGGCUAGCGUUGCUCGGAAUCACUGGGCGUAAAGGGUGCGUAGGCGGGUCUUUAAGUCAGGGGUGAAAUCCUGGAGCUCAACUCCAGAACUGCCUUUGAUACUGAAGAUCUUGAGUUCGGGAGAGGUGAGUGGAACCGCGAGUGUAGAGGUGAAAUUCGUAGAUAUUCGCAAGAACACCAGUGGCGAAGGCGGCUCACUGGCCCGAUACUGACGCUGAUGCACGAAAGCGUGGGGAGCAAACAGG